rnacentral:lncRNA from 1 species
GUAGGGUGUGUGUGUGGUGAGUGUGUGUGUGCUGUGCGUGUGAUAUGGUUUCACUGUGUCCCCACCCAAACCUCACCUUGACUUGUAGUUCCCAUAAUCCCCAUGUGUUGAGGGUGGGACCUGGUAGGAAGUGACUGCAUCACGGGGGUGGUUUUCUCCUUCCCCCAUCAUGCUGUUCUCAUGAUAGUGAGUGAGCUCUCAAGAGAUCUGGUGGUUUUAUAAGGGACUCUUCCCCUUCGCUUGGAACUUCUCCUUCCUGCCACCCUGUGAAGAAGGUGCCUUGCUUUCCCAUCCCCUUCUGCCAUGAUUGUAAGUUCCCUGAGGCCUCCCAGCCAUGCCGAACUUUUCUAGAUGCUCUUUUCCCACUCCCACCCCACGUGGGGAACCCAGCUCAUCCGGAUCUGCAUGCUCGUAGCUUUCUCCACAGGAGGCUGAGAAGCCACCAAACACAGAGAGGGAUCUGAACGGCUGGGGAUACUUAGUGCCGAUCACAGGGCCCCGCUUCGUAUGCUUUGAAAUGCUUGUAUUUAAGUCAACUCUGUCCCCUCUCCUGGCAGAGUUUUCAGCUGAAGAUGAAAAUGCUGCUAUGGCAUUCCCUGCAGUCCACGUUGCUAGGAGAGGAUGAAUUCAGGAGCUGUGGGCUUUCCAGACUUUCAGUCAGCCCCUGUCAACACCCCUUAAAUAACCAGUGGUAAACUGCCUGUCAGAAUGAUGGAGAGCCACUUGAUUCCCAUUUCCUUCUCUAGGGCACAGACUCUCACCUCAUUGCCAGGCUGGCAGGUCAUUCGUCCAGGCAUCAUAUGGCUAUAAAACCAGUGGUAUUCUUUUUAUUUGAAAUGGGGUGGUAGUAGUGGUGGUGGGGAGACAUAAAUCCUAAGUGGUUCACACAGGAUGCAAAGUGACACAAUUUGUGUGUAUGUAAGAGUGUAUAUGAGUUUGGGGGUGGGAGGGCCUUAUUUUGGGAGAAAAUUCUCCCAAAUGUUGGAGUAUUGGGGGCAAAAAUUCUGUUACUCUGAACAAUGUCUGCAUAACAGUGAAAAUCAGAGGACCGUAAGUAUUGAAAAGUACUGCCAAAAUAAUGGGGUUUGAAGGCAGAUGUGUAUUGAAAAACCCUGAAUGAGAAUAAGGGUGCUGCUGAAUCAGGAGGCAGAAAGGAGGGACUUUCAGCUGGUUCACAUGGAAGAGAUAUGAAAUGCUUUAGACAGUCUGGAAAGGUAGGAAGCAGAUGUGAAAUGAACAGGGGGCAACCUGUUGAGAGCUGUUUUGAGAACUGAGAGAACAGACAUCUCAGUAUGCCUCAAAUAUUGAGCUAGAAAAGAGGCAGCCUAAAGGAGCAUCUAACACAAGCCAAAACAAAACCAAAAUACCUUAAAUCAAGCCCAAAAAAAAAAGACAACAGGAAAGAACCUUCCUCCUGGAAAUAUAAAUGUGGUAGAGGGGUUAAUGAUGGUGCUGUAUAUCAGGAAUGGAAGGUAGGAGCAGCAGGAUUCAGAAUUCUUGGAGUAGAGGUUGAGUGAAGAAGUCAGCUCACUAAAGGGAACUAGAGUAAUGCUUGCAAGGACCUUGUCUGUUUCACAUGCUGGUUGUUCCAUGGUGGCAGAAGUGGGAUCUGAUGUUCUACAUCUUGCAUAACUAAAAAGGUAGCAUGCACUAAACUUGGAAAGAUCUUAAAUCUGUACCCUGAAAAUUAUCCCACAUUCGUGGAAAAAUUAGUAUGCCUAUUAGUAUUGUCACCAUGCAAGAACUGCACUGGCAAUGAAGACAGUGAUGUAAGAAGACAGAAGUGAGUCCAGACACAGGAUCCAUUGUCUAAGCAACUGAUGGGAGAAAUGGCUUCGUGACUGUCCUGAGGCAAUGGUGGUGAGGCAGGAAUUAAACACCUCCCAGGGAUGAAAUGGUGUCACCUUGUAUUGUGUUUCACCUUAAUUAUCUCCAUGAGAACUUCACACAUGUAUUAAAAAAACCCAACAUGACACAUUCGUAAGGUAGUUACUAUCUGUUGCAGAAUUUCAUGUAUUAUAUUUGUGCCCUAAGUUAGCCAUUAUUAUCCCAAUUUUAUAGUUAAGGGAAUGGAAACUCAAAAAACAUAUGGCUUGCUUACAGAGCUACACAACUUGUGGGAGAGGAGCUGGGAUUGGGACUCCAAUUUUGGGACUCUGUGUUCAUCAUGUUUUUUGGUCCCCCAUGUUCCCCUUCUUUAAAUGACUGAGUACAUGUCAUUUCAAAAACUUGUGGCCUUGGGCAAUGGCAGGCAGAAUAGGAAGUAAAUAUGUCUCAUUUUCCCUUUGUGAUUUCUCUAUGGUUCCAUAAAGAAAUAAACACAUUUAAAAGGUUAGCCAUUUGCCUUUGCCUGAGUAAAGUAUAAAGUUUUUUAAAAAAGCAUUUCCAGUUAUUUUGUGUAUUAAUCUAAUGAUGG